AUUGAACGCUGGCGGCAUGCCUUACACAUGCAAGUCGAACGGCAGCACGGGAGCAAUCCUGGUGGCGAGUGGCGAACGGGUGAGUAAUAUAUCGGAACGUGCCCAGUCGUGGGGGAUAACGUAGCGAAAGCUACGCUAAUACCGCAUACGAUCUAUGGAUGAAAGCGGGGGAUCGCAAGACCUCGCGCGAUUGGAGCGGCCGAUAUCAGAUUAGGUAGUUGGUGAGGUAAAGGCUCACCAAGCCGACGAUCUGUAGCUGGUCUGAGAGGACGACCAGCCACACUGGGACUGAGACACGGCCCAGACUCCUACGGGAGGCAGCAGUGGGGAAUUUUUGGGACAAAUGGGCGGCAAGCCUGAUCCAGCAAUGCCGCGUGCAGGAUGAAGGCCU
rnacentral:rRNA from 1 species